rnacentral:rRNA from 1 species
CGAGCACGCGCGUGUGGCAUAUCAAUAAGCGGAGGAAAAGAAACUAACAAGGAUUCCCCUAGUAACGGCGAGUGAAGCGGGAAGAGCUCAAAUUUGAAAUCUUCAAGGUUUUACCUUGACGAAUUGUAGUUUAAAGAAGUGUUUUCUGUUGAAGUUUUGGUAAAAGUUCUUUGGAAUAGGACAUCAUAGAGGGUGAGAAUCCCGUAUUUGACCAUUACUUCCAGCGUUGUGAUACACUUUCAAAGAGCCGGAUUGUUUGGGAAUGCAGUCCAAAAUGGGUGGUAAAUUUCAUCUAAAGCUAAAUAUUGGCGAGAGACCGAUAGCGAACAAGUACCGUGAGGGAAAGAUGAAAAGAACUUUGAAAAGAGAGUUAAACAGUACGUGAAAUUGUCAAAAGGGAAGCGUUUGACACCAGUGUUGUUUUUCCGAAAAUCAAUUAUGAAUGGCUUGAUUUUAAGUUUCAUGACCUUAAAAGCUUGUUUCUUAUUUUUCAUGUCUUUCGUAAUGCACUUUUCGGUUAACAAGUCAACAUCAAUUUCUUUUGUUGUAAAAGGUUAAGAGGAAGGUGGCUUUACUUUCGGGUAAAGUGUUUAUAGCCUUUUAACUCUGCAAUCGGAGAGAUUGAGGUCUGCAGCGUAGAUCCUUCGGGGUUAGAUACAUUUGUGCUAAGUUAUAGCUUUUCAUAGACAACUUGUUGACUAUGUUAAGUCUUGUAAUUUACUCGCAGAUGCUAUUUUACCUACGCUUAGGAUGUUGAGUCAUCACACAUCUCU